AGAUCUGGGCUAUGAAGGAGUCGCUGCCACAGUCAAAAGGGGGAAGAUGAGCAAUACUUUGAGUGCAACACUGUCUUCAUCUGAAUGAAUCAUGGAUGAAUACUUCUGAAGCUUGAUUCGUGUGUGAGCAAGAAUCUGAAUUUCUCUUCUUUGCUCCAGACACUGAAGCUCUCUCAACUCCCCACAGCUGCAGUGGUGAAGAUUCAGCUACUUUAUAAACCUUGCAGACUGCCAGAGGCAA